CAAAAGGGAAACAGCCCAGAUCGUCAGCUAAGGUCCCAAAGUGUAAGUUAAGUGGGAAAGGAUGUGAGAUUUCUAAGACAACUAGGAUGUUGGCUUAGAAGCAGCCAUUCAUUAAAAGAGUGCGUAAUAGCUCACUAGUCGAGAGAUCUUGCGCCGAAAAUGUAACGGGGCUAAACUUACCACCGAAGCUACGGGCUUGAACUUAGUUCAAGCGGUAGGAGAGCGUCGUAACCGGGCUGAAGUCGUACCGUAAGGAGCGGUGGACUGGUUACGAGUGAGAAUGUUGGCAUCAGUAGCGAGAUGUGGGUGAGAAUCCCACAGGCCGAAAACCUAAGGUUUCCUCAGGAAGGUUCGUCCGCUGAGGGUUAGUCGGGACCUAAGCCGAGGCCGAAAGGCGUAGGUGAUGGACAACUGGUUGAUAUUCCAGUACCACUACCAUCGUUAUUAUCGAUGGCGUGACGCAGGAGGAUAGUGUGUGCUAGCUAUUGGAUGCUAGUCUAAGCGUUUAGGCAGUGAGAGUAGGCAAAUCCGCUCUCAUAAUGCUGAGGCGUGAUGGGGAAGGUUCUACGGAACCGAAGUACAUGAUUCCACGCUGCCAAGAAAAGCGUCUAGAGAGAGAAGUAGUGCCCGUACCGCAAACCGACACAGGUAGGUGAGGAGAGAAUCCUAAGGCCGGCGGAAGAAUUACAGUUAAGGAACUCGGCAAAUUGACCCCGUAAGUUCGCGAGAAGGGGUGCCUACGAGAGUAGGCCGCAGAGAAUAGGCCCAAGCAACUGUUUAGCAAAAACACAGGUCUCUGCUAAAGCGUAAGCUGAUGUAUAGGGGCUGACGCCUGCCCGGUGCUGGAAGGUUAAGGGGAACACUUAGCGCAAGCGAAGGUGUGAACUUAAGCCCCAGUAAACGGCGGCCGUAACUAUAACGGUCCUAAGGUAGCGAAAUUCCUUGUCAGGUAAGUUCUGACCCGCACGAAUGGCGUAAUGACUUGGGCACUGUCUCAACUGUAAAUCCGGCGAAGUUGUAGUGCGAGUGAAGAUGCUCGCUACCCGCGAUUGGACGGAAAGACCCCGUAGAGCUUUACUGUAGCUUAGCAUUGAGUUUUGGUAUUGUCUGUACAGGAUAGGUGGGAGACUAGGAAACCAGGGCGUCAGCCUUGGUGGAGUCAACCUUGGGAUACCACCCUGACAGUACUGAAAUUCUAACUGGCGGCCAUGAAUCUGGUCACAGGACAUUGUUAGGUGGGCAGUUUGACUGGGGCGGUCGCCUCCUAAAAAGUAACGGAGGCGCCCAAAGGUUCCCUCAGAACGGUCGGAAAUCGUUCGAAGAGUGCAAAGGCAGAAGGGAGCCUGACUGCGACACCCACAAGUGGAGCAGGGACGAAAGUCGGGCUUAGUGAUCCGGUGGUACCUCGUGGGAGGGCCAUCGCUCAACGGAUAAAAGCUACCUCGGGGAUAACAGGCUGAUCUCCCCCAAGAGUCCACAUCGACGGGGAGGUUUGGCACCUCGAUGUCGGCUCGUCGCAUCCUGGGGCUGAAGUAGGUCCCAAGGGUUGGGCUGUUCGCCCAUUAAAGCGGCACGCGAGCUGGGUUCAGAACGUCGUGAGACAGUUCGGUCCCUAUCCGUCGCGGGCGUAGGAAAUUUGAGAGGAGCUGUCCUUAGUACGAGAGGACCGGGAUGGACUGACCUCUGGUGUACCAGUUGUUCCGCCAGGAGCACAGCUGGGUAGCUAAGUCGGGAAUGGAUAAACGCUGAAAGCAUCUAAGCGUGAAGCCAACCUCAAGAUGAGAUUUCCCAUAGCGUAAGCUAGUAAGAUCCCUUGAAGAACACAAGGUUGAUAGGUCGGGGGUGUAAGCAUGGUAACAUGUUCAGCUGACCGAUACUAAUAGAUCGAGGGCUUGACCAA
rnacentral:rRNA from 1 species